rnacentral:rRNA from 1 species
UACGUAGGGGGCAAGCGUUAAUCGGAAUUACUGGGCGUAAAGCGUGCGCAGGCGGUUUUGUAAGACAGAGGUGAAAUCCCCGGGCUUAACCUGGGAACUGCCUUUGUGACUGCAAGGCUUGAGUGCGGCAGAGGGGGAUGGAAUUCCGCGUGUAGCAGUGAAAUGCGUAGAUAUGCGGAGGAACACCGAUGGCGAAGGCAAUCCCCUGGGCCUGCACUGACGCUCAUGCACGAAAGCGUGGGGAGCAAACAGG